GUCAUUGCAAAUUUGGGAAAUAAGGCUUAGAAAAUUGUUCUGAUUUCAAAACAAAGCUCUUGCAUUUCUUUCUUUCUCAUUCUCAGAAUGUAUGCUCAUAAAAGUUGGAAAGCUUCAGGUUUGAAAAACAAUAGAAAUAGUGAUGUGUUGCAGCAUGACCUUUUUUGUGUUGCAUUGUUGAAUCAAGAUUAAAAAAAGGUGCAGCCCAGAGCAGUCUCUGGUAUAGAUCUAGUUGUGCCUUUUGGUGAGAGAUGGAUCCUUGCUCUGGCCCACAUUACCUACUGUUAAUAUCUCAUUGUUUACUGAUUACCUCUCUGUCUUGUAAAGCCACCCAUUCUACUGACUGUAAUUGAAUUGGCUGUCUGUAUUAGGUUCUUAGAUUCACCAUAUGCUCUCAGUCUAAUACUAUUUAUUCGAGAUUAGUGGAAACAACACUGAGAAAGAGCAAACGAAAAUCUAACAGAAGAGGUCACAGAACAUCUUGUUGUGGCAGAUGGUGUUGUAGCCAUCGUGGAAGCUCUCCCGUGGGUGUUUCAGAUGCUUACAUAUUCUUUACCUUUUGAAUUUGAGGUGAAUUUAAGGAAAAUGCAGAAAAAAGAAGAGUCAUUCCAAUGGACGGAGAAAGAAUCUGAACUGCCCAUGUGGUGAUUUUCAGAGGAAAGCAGUUCACAAGAGAUGUACCACUGUAGUGUGAGGUCGAUCUCAUGUGGUGUCAAACAGAUGGAGGCAAGAAACUGGUCAUUCAUCUCCAGAAGCUCAGUGAGACUCUGCAGCAAUCUCUCCCUGGGAGCAGUGGAGAAAGAGAACUGGCCUGCCUUAGGGAAUGCUGCUGUCACCAGGAGGAUCCAUGCAAGGAAGGGAGCAAUGAGGCCUCGUUGGACCCAACCUGAUGUCUCUGCAGCUGAACAGCAUUGCCAGCACUGCGCGCGAGAUCUAUGGGCAGUUAUCCUAGCUGAAAAUCAGAGCCAAGCUGUGGAGUUAAGACAGGAAAGCCCACUUCGCAGAGGACAGGAUGAAAACUCAUAA
ensembl:lncRNA